CCGGUUGCUCAGGUGGGCCAAGCUGGGACGGUCCUUGUGAUCUCGCCCUUGGGUGAGUCAAGAAUCAGUUCAGAAAGAAACCGAGAGGCCUUCGCGAGCCACCUCAGGACACGGAACCAGUAUAUUCUCGCCUGGGGAUUAUUAAAUGCCGAAAGGCAAAGGCCAGGCCUGAGUAGGGUGCAUGGCGGCCCUCCCUUCUCUGAACCCCAGGCUCCUUUGUAGUUUUUGUGUUGCAGGACCUACAAAGAGGUUUUCCGGUGGGUGAUACAGGACUUCCUGGAGAAGCCAGGCAGCGGAAUCGACAUCCGUCCCCACGGCCGACUGUCCCUUGGAGCGAUGGACAGCAAGAUGAAAGCGAUGCUCAUAGACGAAUUACACGAGCGAGGAUUUGAGAGAUACAGAGAGAUAUUUACGCAGUACAUGAAGUUUGGCCCGUGCGUCAAAAUUAAGUUCAGAUUAUCAGACUACCCCCCCAAACCAGAAACCACCAUCCUAAAGAAACGGCAUCCAGAACCCCAAGAGCUCCUGGAG
rnacentral:lncRNA from 1 species